CUGGAACCGCUUGGCUUCUCGGUUCAGCCAGAUGAGGCCGGGGUACAUCCCGCUGUCCACCUGGGCCACGAGCCACGGCUUCAGGCGCACCCUGCGCGGGUGUAACGCCAUCGUCGCUGCGCUCCGCCGGGGGGUGCCGCGCCGAGGCAGAGGGCCGCUCCGCGCCCCGGGGCUCUCCGCCGCCCCGCGGGGCCCGCGCGUGGGCGCAGC
rnacentral:lncRNA from 1 species